GUUGAUGUCUGUAGCGGUAGGGGUACACCUGAUCUCAUUCCGAACUCAGAAGUUAAGUCUACCAGCGCCGAUGAUACUUGGGGAUAGCCUUGGGAAAGUAGGUCGAUGUCAACA
rnacentral:rRNA from 1 species